CCAGUUUUGGGGGCCAAGCCUGCAUCUCCCUCCUCGUGGGGGUAGGUCUUGGCAUGGAUGACUUGUGAGCUCAUAUUUGGUCCAAAAAACAAACUAAUCUCCCAAGAAUAUACAGUGAUUUUUCAGGCAUUGGAGACUGGAGUUCCAAGUAUUACAGAAAAAGAAUUUCUGACUUUAGGAUUCAUCUGGAGAGUCUCCAAUUGACAUUUGUAAAUGGUAUACAUUAGGAUGAGAACUGGUCUUACCAGUAGGACCAAAACAGCUCAGUGACGUGGCCCCUCCGUAAACAAAGGGAGUAUCUGUUCCGAAGACAAAUUCACUUUUUUUCCCCUCAUAAACUACAGAGACUGUCUGAAAUUCCCAAAAUGGCUGCUUUCCAACCUCAAAUAUUUAAAGCCCUAGUCUCCUCCAGGAGGAUUGUUCUAGUAAAUUACCUCCUUUGAUCGUCCCAAGAACUUUAUAAGGUAAGGUAUAGCUUCCUUUGUUUUACAAAUGAGGAAACUGAGGCUGAGAGACUGUGAUAAUUAGCCGAAGCCUAGUAAAUUGCAGGGUGGAUUCAAACCCAGCUUGGCCAUUUGUCUUCCAUCUCCCUUGUCCCAUGACCUUUUCCAGUUGUGAUAGUCUACGGUGCUGAGGUCCUUAUGAUACUGGGAGGCUCUGACCCUGGCCUGUGGGAAGGCAGCUGUGACUUGCAAGAGUUAACGCCAAAGGACAGCACAGGCUACCCUAUUCGAGGGGCCCUGGGCAAAAUGGAAAUGGGGGCCCUUGUUCAAAAAUUGUUAAGAGUUCAAGACCGUGACAGCCGAGCGUUCCGUCAAGCACUGGUCCUUGUGAGCUCUGGGUCCUGUGCAGGUCGCAGGCCCUGUGGAGCCCACAGCCUGGACAAGUCACCUUGCUCCUGGGAGGAGCGUGGGCCGCGGGGUGACCUGGUGCUGGAAGAAACCAGGUUGUUUCCUAGCGAGCCUUCUCACCCGCUCCCCUGUAAUGCGGCAUGAUUGUCAAAGAAAGCAAGAGCGAGGGGUUGAGUGUACCAGAUAAUUUUUGCAGUUUAGCUGCUUUCAUUCUUCCUCUAUUGUUGUUGUUUUGAAUAAUCUGUGUGGCUUUUGAAGAAAUUGCUCGAACCGGUUUGAACCUUAAUAAGAUAUGAAAAAAUCGGAGGCAAAGAGGGCCUGGUGAUGAAAGGGGAGCUUUCAUUUGGCGCUGCAGGCGCCGGGAGCAGAGGAGCGGGGGCUGUGUGCUCAUCAGAGGCAGGUGGGCGGUGUGGGACAGAGGCGGCGCGUGCAGGGGGGCGGCCAGACAGCGGUGAGCGACAGUGCACGUCUUUAAACAGCAGAAUGACAAUUGGAAACAUAAAAGCCAAGGCGGAAAGUGCGAAGGAAAUGGAGAAAAACAAACCCGGACUCAACUAUAGCUACCUGAAUGAGCAGGAGUUGAGAGAAGAAACGGCCAGUCAGGAUUGUAAGGGGUUAGCAACGCCUGCUGCAAGAUGGAAUCCCCCAAUGGUUCUCCCCAAGGAGAGAGGCUUUUGGCACUUGGCUGGGUCUCCCCAGGAGGCAGGAUUUGCUCCAGAGGAUCUAAUUCUGGCUGAAACCUACCAAAUUCUCAGCUCCAGACACACCGAGCGGUUUCCCACUUCCAGACUCCUCCACCUGCUGGACUGCUGCCAGGGACGCGGCUUCAUUCUCCCGAGGCAUCUGCUUCUGCUUCAGGUCUCAUCUGAAAUGUCACCUCCUUGGAAAGGCCUUUCUUGGCCUAAACUACAUCCCCAUUUCUCCUGCCACCCAUUUUCUCUCUUGGCACCCUUAUAGUAUAUCUGUCUCUCCCACUGGCCCAGAAGCACCAUGAGGACGUGGAGCUUGUCAGCCUUAUUUGCUGCUCCACCCAGGGUGCCUAGCAGAAGUCAGCAUAGAGCAGGCACUGGAAAUGUGUUUUUUGAAUCAGAGAGUGGGUGAAAUUUUCUAACACCUCAGCUGUUCAGAUAUGCCCGCUCUAUUUGGAUUUCCGCUCUUAGGUAACGUCCAAAACCAUCUCUGAACAUCUGACUCGGGUGUUGCACGUUGUCUUUUGUCGGCAGAGCUUCUGGCUUUUCCUCUCUGGUUUCCUCUCUUGUUGUUAGAAUAUAGGAAUAUCCAUUGCUCCCGCGCUGUAAUAAGGAAACUGUAUUCGCCACGGCUGUCUGUGGGGUUGAAUUCUGGCUACUAGAUAGCCUUGGGGCCAUGUAAUGGGUCUUGUUUUCCUCCAUUCUGCUUCCUGUCUCCUCUCCCUGUCUGUUUCUCUCCCCAUGAAAUGUGGCAAAUGCUCAAAAAUAUUUCGUUAUUUUGAUUAAAUGAUGUGAUGUUGGGUUUCCUCUACUCUGCUAAUAAAGAGUAUCUUGUUGGUA
ensembl:lncRNA